GCUGCUUCCACAAGCGGGUUCGGCGGCCGAAAGUUCCUUCGGCGGCCGAACCUGAGUUUCUCCAAAGUGGCAGAAACUCAGCUCCAACAUGCACAAACGCCUCCCAAACCUUUCAAACAUGCAUAAGCCUAUUCUACAACACUCCCAAACAUACACAAUCAAGCAUACAAGCUCAUAGGGGUCUUAAACUAGCCUAAGCCCCAACUACAAC
rnacentral:lncRNA from 1 species